AGGGUUGUGAUGUACUAUUCAUUCUUAUUUUAUUGCAAGCCUUGUAUUUUGCAUUCACUGUAUAGAAUAUUUUCUUCCGUGCAAAGAUCAAUUUGUGAUUAUAUGUGAUGACCACAAUUUUCUACGUCGUAUUCAAUGUUUUAUGUUACUACUGCAGAAUGCAAGUGUCGCGCACCCAGUGUUCAUCCGUAUGAGGUUAGAGAUGGUCGGUUUGAACAGUAUUUCCUUUGACGAAAAUAAUUGUACAUUUAUGAACAAGUUGAAAUACUGUUUGAUGAAUGUAAUCGUUGCAUCGUGAUCUAAAUUUGUGAAAAAAUUGAUUACUUUUAUCUGUCAGAGGAAUGUGAUUAGAAUUUUAUAUAUCGUCAGCAUACGAUUAGUCGUAUGAUUUCUUUAGGUUAUGUUACAUUUGUUAUUAAUUUUAAAUAUACAAUUUUUUGGAAAUAAAUCAGAAAUGACGUGACCUUUGGUCAAGCAUCUAGACAAAUAACACUUUUGUACCCUCACUGUGCUACGAUAAUGUUUGGAAUUCCACUUUAAUGCAAUUCUGACAGCAGGGUAUUUAAAGGUUUCAUAAGGAUGAUAGAUGGAUAAUGUUAUUAGUUAUUAACAAUAUAGUGCCAUGGAUCUUGACAUAGGAAAUGAGGAACAGAUACUUUUGGAAGCAGACACAGUUUAUUUGCUAAUGAAAAAAGGCUUUCCAAUAUCACGAAAUGUCAGGGUUCAGUGGAUGUUAGAACAUUUGGAAAGCAUUAUAACGAUACAACAUCCAGAUAUACAAAAUGAAGAAGUUCCAGAACUGGAAAUUGUUUCUGUCCUUCCAAGAGAUAUGCCAGCUUCUUGGAGGUCGGAUAAUAGUUAUUUGUAUCAAUAUAAGAUCACUACUGCAACUUCCCUAGUUUUUCUGGCUCACAAGUAUAGGAUGGCUUUCAGUUUAGACCUUAGUCCAUCUCUUGCCACUGUUGACAUCCAACAUGGGGAAAUUGUGAUAGAUGAGGUUUAUUUGGCAAUGAAGCAGUGUCUGGAAUGUAUAGUUAAACCUUUUAUUGUCCCAGGAAGUAAGCGAAUAAUGCAGCCUGAAAUUUACAUCACAAUAAUAGCUCAUACACCAUUCUUCACAAGUCCUGCUCAACAAGUUCUUGUACAGGGUUGGCUUCUUACUGUGAAAAACAUUGAAUAUCUGAUACAAUACAUAGAGCAGCAAUUAAAAUGUUUGGAAGAAAAAGUAGCAUUGGUCACAGGCAUAGCUAACCAGCAAUUAGAGACAUUGAGAGCUGAAAGCGAAAGAUUAGUAGGAGGACUUUUUGAAGAGGGUGGCAUUUGCAUAGGUCAAAACAACAGUAACAAUGUUGCAAAUAUUUCCAUGGUAUCACCGGAAGCUAGUUUUAUUAAUAUGCUACGAUAUGGAAUUCUAGCACUUGCUCUUCUUCCAGAGCACAGUUGUGCUCAUCUUGUAGUGGUAUCUGAUGGCAUAGUGGGUGUAGCGGAUGUGCACGUAUUAGAUUCAGUGCUGCAACAACUACGAGCAUCCACAGUUGCAUGCACUUUUAUACAUGUGGGCAGUACGUAUCAUCCACACUGUGCAGAAGCUCUAGUUCCAUAUCCAGACUUGUUACGGUUUCUGGCAAGAGCCACAUUAGGAUCUUAUAUGACUUUCAUUCCACAACCAGUACCAAUGGAUGAAGCGAAUAUGAAUCUUUACCAGCAAAAUUUUCUGUGCUGGCAUUUGUAUCGUGACAAUUCCAUCACAGCGGAUGAUAUGAGAGCCUGGUACACAGAAAAUACUUUGUUUCAUAGUCAAAAAUCCCCUCAGCUUUUGAGGAAAAAGCAAAUCGAUGACAAAGUCACUUGCACACUGAGUAGUCUACUGUGCUGUCGUUUGCGAGAAGGUUAUUUAAUAAAAAGGGUUACAUUGCGGGAUGGCUAUCUCGAAUUGUGUUUUGUGCUACCCUGGAAAACACAUGUAUUUUUGGAAUAUCUGGUAACAUGUCAAUGGCCCCCAAAGUCGUUGGCUGGAUCAAACACUAUUCAAUACACGAUCACAAUCGAAGCUCCUUAUGAAUUCCUGCAUGAUAUCACGUGUUUAUCUAAAAAACCAUUGAAAUCGCAGUAUCGUCAGAGCGUCGUCUCUCGAUUUUGGAUAGCAUUAUCGUCGUUAACAGAGAGCGAUAACAUGCUCUCACAUUUCAGUUGGUUUCCUGGAUCAGGUUGGCCUUGGUACAGCGUACCAGAUACCAUCAAAAGUGGUAUGCCAGUUUUCUAUUUGCCAACGUAUCCUUCAGUCAAUACUAUAUUGCUCAGCGAUGCUGCCUGUCCUCAAUUUGGUCAAAUUUGGCAACCAGUUGUAUCUCUGGAUCCACUUCAGUGGGCUAGAUGGAUGCAUUCUCAAAGAGUUACCUUAGUAUUGUCACAUGAUAGACCCCUACCAAGGCAUCUUCAUCAAGCUAAUCAGAGUGGAAGGUUUCAAUGUGUUCAAUGCAGACAAGCAGCUGCGUCUCUGUACGCUAUGCUGAAAAACUGGGCUACAUUUGUCCUAGUUGAGAAUCAUACCUAUGUUCAAUUUAUAUACCGUGAAAUGGAUAAACCACCAGUAUCAUUCUCCCUUAUUCGCGUGAGCUCCAAAGCACUCUGUGUUGUAUUGAACGUGGCUUUUGCUGGUGGUACAGAAGGUGUUGUCAGACACAACGUAGUCGUAGAUCUCGUGGAUAGAUUGUCUAAAUUAACGUUACCAAACAGACCUACGGAACAACGAGAGAUUCCAUGUUGUACAAUUGUUCAUAAACCGUUAGAAAGAAUUCUUAUUCGGUAUGAACGUAUGCCUACUGACUUGAGCACCGUAGUAUUUCCAGAUGGAACACAACCAACUGUCAUGAAAAAUACCCCAAUUCCUGGUGGUAGUUUGACAACAACGUUGUCCAGAUAUUUGUAUCACAGUCGUUGGCUUUGGCUUGUUAAAAAACCACUUAUUCAUACAAUUCCUGACAUAGUUUUACCUAGACUGAACACGACAGCCAUUGCUAGGAUACUCUCCACGAUCACCAAAAUACGUUUAGCCGAAGGUUUUAGCUUUGCCUACUCUGCUGCGGGUAUUAUAAAUAUGGUUUUAGAAGUACAAAUGCAAGGUCCUGGUGUUGAAGAUCUAUCACAUCCAUGUAUUAUACAAUACGUUUUGUUCCCACCUCACAAAACUGUUAAUCCAUCGAUGGAACAAGAAAGUGGGUCAGAGGAAGAUACCGAUGAAGGAACUGGUGACGGAGAUGGUGGUACUGAGGAUAAUGAGUCCUGUGGUGAUUUUCAAAUUGUAACUGAAGUCUGGAUUGAGCCCCAAUGCGGCCGAGUUCAACUACCGAUUCAUCAGACAGCUGAAUACAUGCAUCCACUUUAUUACCAUCAGAUACCCGAUGCGAUAGCCCAGAUUGAUGAGGAGUGCGUUAAUGCCUUACUGACGUUGGAACACUUGAGUCUACUGAGUCAGGUCAUCCCCAGUGAAAAAUUAAAUGGUCCUACACCAGGACAACAGUGCCAAGGAAGUCAUGCUGCUGGAGGAAGCACUGGAACACUUGGAAAUUGUAAUAGACGCGGUCCAUCUGCUACAUUUCAUGAGGGUCCACCUAAUACUGAUCAACGAAUUCACUUGGUGCCAUUCACUUUUGAAAUACUCAACAUUUUGCCAAAAUGUCAACAGGCUGAACUUCUCUUUUCUAUGUUCAAUGACGACCCAAUAUGCAUAGAUGAGAAUAACUAUGGUGCUAAUGGAAUUCUAAUGGAAGGAUUUCUUGAGCAUGUUAGGCGUCUUCAUAAUAAGGAAUUAUUUCUUACCCCUGAGGAUUCAGAGAAUUUUACAGAGAUGCUGUUAAACAGAUCACGAGAUAAUGGACCGCCUUUUCCCUUCUCCAUUAAGACGGGUAUAACAAACAGUUUGUUUUUGAUCACUCAUAAGCUUAGAGUAACAUCAUCAUGUUUAUAUCGUCCAUAUUUUUUAGAAAAUUCGGCAGCCAAACCACAAUGGAGAUGCUUUAUCAAAGGGAUAAGUGUCACUCACGUAAUCGUUACAAUGUUACCAGCAUCUGCGGGAGAUGUACGUCUGUUUAUCAGUACUGCGGGAGACAAUGAUAAUAAAAAUUAUGAUAAUCAUAGUCAUUGCACUGGCCAAGAUGAAUCAAUCAUGAAUUCUCAUGAUUUAGAAAAGAAAGAUUCGAGUUCAGCCUCGUGUAUAAGAAAAAUCAAGAGAUCUGAAUCAUUUAGAAAUUUACCAAUUGGUGAAACAGACUCUAAUGGCUCGAGUCAAUGUACCACAGCACAUAGUACACCAAAAGCUAAUCCUUGUAGAAGGCCAAAAGAUACUCCUAAGCAGGAAUUGAUCUUACCGAUUUAUGUUUAUGAUUGUUCACUAGCUGUACUAAUUGAUGCUCUCGUUGAGAAACUUCAAUCACCACGUGCCAAAGAUAUUUAUCAAAAUCACACGUUCAAGGUAGGAGAACAGUUCGGGGAGGAUUUUGUGAACUUGAAAUCCGGUUGUGACACUAAACCUUCAUCGCCUGAACCUAAGAGCGAGGAUUCCGAUAAUAUAUUUAAUGAUCAACGAAGCCUGACAGAGCACUGCAAGCUUUUGAGCUUAGCUCAUUGCAAAUGCUAUGUGGUGGCUGUUUACAAAUCCCUCGCUCUUCAGCAUCCGUUAAGCUACGAAGAUAUGGAAGCUGCGGUUGAUCAGUGUGAAGAGCAUGUCGUUGAAAUCAAUGUCACAAAGUAUUUUCAAUCCGUCUGUCGUCAUCUUAGUUCUUCCUCAGACAGUGGCUUGCAAAGUCGCUUAGAAACUGCUGCGUGUAAUGAUGUGCAACCUUUGCAUAAUCUGAUUAAAGAUAAAUUUGAGAGGAUAAUGACUGUAGCAUUUAGAACAGUGCCGGCUCAUCCAGAAUUUUACUAUUGUUCGCCCUCUUGGACUCUAGACAGAGUGGAGAGAUUGAAUUCUAAUAGAACAGAUAGCGAUGACGAAUUGGAAGGCUUUACUUUUCACUCAGAAAGUAUGGAUUGCAAGGCCGAUAAUAAUGUCGUAAAGGUUAAUCAAGCUAUGAAUGCUACGUGGCCAGCAACAAAUCUUCAAGAUACCGCAAAACUUUCCAGUCGUGCUUCAACAGGAUCUCUUAGCUGUGACUUUCGUGAAGAUGACAAUUUCAACAAGGAGCAUCCUCUCUUCUUACAAUUGAAUUGCUCAAUUCAUUCAAAAUCUAACAUAUCCUCGGUACCCGUAAAGCUUCUGCCAACUUGUUUUACUGAAAUAGUACAGAGACUUGACGAUUAUGAGGAUCGGGAUCCGUCAUAUCUGAAAAUCACUCUUGAUAUCAUGUGUUUGAAUCUUCCCAAGGAAGUGCUUGAAGUCAGUUUAGAACAUAAUCCUGGUCUUAGAACCACGUCUUACUGUAGUGGUUCUCCUUUAAGUAGCACACGCACUGACAGUGAAAGUAGUCCUGGUAAUGAUAUACAACUAUCCGAGACGCAGGAACCGCUACAAGAAAGAAUUCCUCAUCUUCCGCUUUACCAGCACAACGCUAUUGCAAAUUUAACGGAUGAGAUCGAAUGGCUACUGCAAGAUGAAACCGCUACUGCUCUUCUUGAUCAAUCUACACCUUCUGAAGAAACUUUAAACUUUGUCGCUCGGCAUGUUUCAGAAUCCCACGAACGUUCGAGUUGCCAUACAGAUAAAGUUCCAUUGCAUUUUGUAUUUCCAGCUGAGCGUAGCGUUCCAAAAUUCUUGGCAGAAUUAAAGAAACUUGAGAUAGAUCGUUACUGUAUGAGGCCGGAAGGUGAUUUGUUUUAUUUUGCAAAAAAUCCUGCGCGAAAGUCAAGCGUUGUGGAACGGAUAUCUGAAGACAAGAAAGAUUUGGAAGAUCAGAUAUUUGAAGAAGGCACAGACAAUGCACCUCCGGAUAAUAAGAAGCAGGAGGAAACCGACACCAAUAAUCGUACUAGUCGACAAGAUUCUGGUGAUCCAUCCGGUUGUCAUUCAGAAAUUUCUAGUCUAGGUGAAGGACCAAUAGGAACAGAUGACGGAUACGAGGGUGAUAGUAGUAAUUCCGAAGAUGAUUGUCAUUGGCUGGCUGACUUAGACAAGCGUAGAAUUUUACUACCAAACUUUUGGUUGAUUUUAAAAGUCCAGCUCAGUCACGUGGACGUUUACUUCCAUUGCAGAUUUCUAGAACUAGCUUCACCGGAAGUAGACCGUUACCGUCAGAUUCAGAAGAUGGUAGUCUCACAGAUAAAGGCUAUAUGUCGUCGAGUGAAUCAGUACCUCCUUCUGCAAAAUCUUCACGAUACACGCAUCUGUGAUCCUCUCCUGGAACCUGAGUCAACAGAAGAUCAUAAUAACUGGAGAGGAGAGACAGGAAGCGAAUCAGGAAGCUCUCUUCAGAAUCACAAUCCAACAUCAAACGCUACUCCAGGACUCUUUCGGUGUCCCGUUAUAUGGGAAGUUCCAUUCUGUCUGCAUCCACGGCUAAAAACCGGCCCUGGGAAAUCCGGAUUGUCUCGUGGUAUCAAGGCGCUGCAUGGCGUACUAAACCGCUUCUCAGUGAACAACAGAAACAACAUGUUCGUUUACCAGGAACCAAAUGAAAAUGUCUUUUAUCUGCGACUUCACGAACAAACUAGUGAGGCCAAGUGUUUUCAAAAUAAAUUAUCGGAAAGUGAUGAGAGACUAGUCGUUUCAAGGAGCAGUAGUGUAGCAUCGUUGUCACAAUCCAGAUGCCACGGUUCGUCCAAUGAUCAGACAUCAGCCGAUGACUCCAGACCCAGGGUGCGAUCCUUUGGAGAAAAGGAGUGUGAUAUUCUGAACAAAUCUGGCGACUCUAUUAUACUCAUGGUACAUGGGAUAUCGGAGGCUGGUCAACAAGUUAAGUGUGGGCUCGUACAAGUACUUCAGAAUAGGCUGGAUGAUGCUGUACUGGAAGUCUUGUCUGGAUUGCUUGCCAGGAAUCCUAUGUGCAAAUUGACACCAGCUGAUGUGCAUUUUAUACAGAGACCAUUCAAGUCAACAGAAAGCAUCGUACAAUUAUCUGUGCAACCACAUUGUUUACCUAGAAUGGACGCUUUGGGUUAUUAUCUUAGGCAGAAUAUACUCCAAUUUUUACAUAUACCCAAGUACACGGAUCCUAGGUCGAAUUAUCAUUUUCAAGAUUACUUUCAACCGGAAGGAUCUGACAAUAGAGUGUCUGAAUCUGAUAUAUUUUUAUACAAUCAAAGUCAAUCCAGUGGCAGUAGAGGAAUUGCUUGUAUUGCACUAGCUAUUGUCAAUUCUAAUGGUGAUCUAAUACGGACUGAGAGAGCUCCAGUUACAGAUUCCAGUUUACCUAUCUCGUUAAAGGUUGAAGAUUUUGAGGAGAUAGUAUCCACUUCUGUUUAUGAAGGCAACAAGAAUUCAAAUGCCAAGUCCAAUACUAAACCUGAAGCUUUGAUCGAAUUUAGGAUCUGGAAACAGGGCCGUGUAAAUCUUGAAUCUUUAAUACAAAAAUUGCGUUCUGCUGUGAAACACGCAACGUGGGAUCUUGUUACAGAAUAUAAUCUUCUACCUACUGUUCUCACAGAACCAUUGUCAUGUGAUAACAUUCAAAUGCGACCCACAGUAAAUAAGGAAACCCAAACACCCAUCAAAAUCAAGACCAAUAAGGGAAAACUUCAUGAGAAUAUUGAAAUUAAUCACUAUGAAUAUGGAGAAGAAGGGAAAUUACAUGAAGUUUAUCAUAUGACUUUGGCUUACUGGUUUCAGUUUGCAUUAGAAAUUGGUGUUCCUGCUGUUAAGAAACAUGUGGUUGUCAUUCAACGACGGCAUCCACUUCCGGUUGUUGUAAAGGAACUUCAAAACCUUAUACGUAGCAAUGCACCGGAUACGACAACUAAAACAUUUGUUCUUCGAGAUCGACAACCAUUUUUAAACACUAAUACAGUUAACCAGGAGGAUCUACUUAAUAGUAAACCGUUCAAGGCAUCUGAGAGCAUGGAGAGUAUUAAUAUAGGGUGGUUAUCAAGAUCCUUAAAGAUGGAAGUUGAUGACAGUCCUGUGGUGUAUAUUCCUUGUGAUUUGUCCAGAGACGAUCAUAGUACAUUUACCAAGUGCAUUUUAGUAGCAAGAAAUUUUUAUCAAUGGAAAGCCUCUUUUGGAAAAACUGUAGAACCGGACUUGCUGGGUCCUAAAGAUCAAAAACUAGUUCAGAAGUUUAAUCCUUUGAUACUGGAUUCAAAAUUUGUACCGCGACAGCGAUUUCUCUUGGCCAGAGUACAAAGUGACAAUAUUAUCUUAUAUAUGUACAAUUGGUCCAAGGAGAGAUCUGAGAUACUAAUAAAGCAGGCAACAAAGCUGGGUACAUGGCUAACAUCAAGAUCCAGUUUAUUCUCAAGCAUAAUAAUGCAAAAAUUAGGAGUGUUUUAUCACCAGCCUAUGCAAAAUUAUCAACAGGGUGAUAGAGGGAGCUUUCAGUACUAUCAAAUAACGGAUAUGGACACUCUCACGAAAUUUUCCCACGCUUUACAUAACGAUAGCAAAGAAUGGUCAAAACCAGCAGGUCGUGGACAGUCGGGGAAAAAUACUAAUUUAUUUUUUAAUAAUUCAGUUUCUCAAGUGUUGAGAGAUGCCAAACCAAGUCCGCAUCAUUCUGGCAGUGUUACGGAUCCAGUUAUAAAAGCAGCUAAUGAUUUUCAAGAACUAAGACACCAAGAGAAAAAAUCUAAGGAGGAUCUCAAGAGACUGAGUACACUGUGGCAGAGUCGUGGUGCUACACCCAACAUCCCAAUAUCAUUAACUACCUUGAAUACUUUUAAGCAACACUCCAGACUGAUUCAUUAUUGCCAUAGUCCUUUAUUAUUUCUCCCAAAUUGGAGAUUGCAAUCAGCUGCCACCAGAGAUCAUUCACUGACACCACCACCAAAUGUCUUGUCGAAUGUCAAUCUACAGCCACAAUCCCCAUCAAACAGUCAGUAUGGGAAAAGUGGCAAUGGUCAUUUGAAUGAUAGUGUCGUUACUGAAUGGCAUCAAGAAUUAUGUGAUUCAAUGUUAUCCGAAUACAAACAGUAUUUGGAAGUGCUAGGAUUCAAUCCAGUUCAAGUGGAAUCAAAUCGUAAAACGGAUGGAAAUUCAAACAAAGAACGUUCCUGUUAUCUACAAAAGUCAAUGCUCGGUGGUGUCCUAUUGUUUGAAAUAAAUUUGGCACAGCCAUUUUUCAUUGUCAAACUACAUAUAGUAGAAUGCAGUAGACUUCAAACUAAAACGAGCAGCGCCCUAGUCAACCAGUUUAUGCUGAGCUUUGUGGAUGCCUGCGACAAGAUCAAGAUUAAUAUGCAUCUUCAUUCGUUCACUUAUGACUUUCAUUUACGCUGCAUCCAUUCAUACAUCGCCGGAAGUGGACAUUGGUCCCUGCGACAAGGCUACCAUCUGACGCACUUCCUGGACGAUUUUAACAAGUAUUACUCAAAGGCACCUAACUAUGCGAGAAAUCUUGUUUACAGUGAUGCAGUAACUUUAACGAACCUUGCAACACCAGCUCGUACCUUAUAUCAGUACUUACUUUCCCAUGAGAAAGCAUACGGCAUGCAGGUGUUUGGUAUGUCUGGGGACUCCUACGAUAACCAGGACAGUGAAUUCUCCCUGGUCCGACUACAGAGCACUCCCCUGAUAAGCUACUGCGACGCUCAAGACAUGAAACACACAGAUGAUUUCGAUGUGACAUUAAUUGUGACACGAUUAGAGCAGCCACCGCAGAUGGAGAAAACAGAAAUCACACUGAAAUAUUACCUAAUGUUAACCAGCAAGAGAGAACUGUAUCCCAAGAGAGAAGUUGAGAAUAAUAAGCUGGGUAAAUUCCGUACAGUCUACAAUGUAGUAAAAUCAACAAGCUCACACGCCGACAGUUCCAGAGGCUCUAGUCCAGUGUCACUCAUGUCACAACUUUCUCCAAAAAAUCCGAAAAUAGAUUCAGUUUUGAGUUCAAGCGAAUUUCGCGACAAUCAGGAGAUAACUGUUUCUACAAAGGAUCUUGAUACUAAACCUGAUAACGGUAAUGAUGUGAAUAAUACUCAAGCACCAACUCCACCACCAGUUCCCAGUUCACCGUUAACUCAAACUUCAAGUAUCCCAAACGUGGAGUCUGCCUCAUCACAACUUGUACAAAUUCGCCAGGAAUCUGUUAACUAUCUAGGAUAUUAUUCCUCGCACGAGCAGGUCAUGCAACAGAUGAUUAUGUCACAAGCUCAAGCUGCACGUGAGCAUAUUAUGAGUAUGGUAGAGCGUGGUGCUUUGCACUGUAGAACACAUCUACUCUGGAACAAGCUCUUGGAGAACAAAUCAACAAUGAGUUACGCAGAAUUUAUGGAACUUCGAUCAUUAGCUCGUGUCGAGCCGUUAUCUGUAUUGGAUUCAAGAUUAAGUCCAUUGAUAAAUCAGCCAGUGACCUGGUAUCAGACACUAUCCAAAGUUUUACAGAAUAAGUAUCAAGAGCACCAUAAGCAAUUUAAUGCACCUGAUGGGAAUGUCACUCAUCAUUUGGUACUACCAUCCAGUUACUUGCAAGCAUUCAUGAUGCUGACAAUUGAUCUUCACACGUCCAGAGGUGAUUUGUAUGUUGUCUAUAGAAAUCCUGCCGAAGUGUUGAGUUCCCCCUUUACAGUGAAUGACGUGUACCACCUGGUCGAGGGCUUUGUUAACGCUUGCUGUUUCCACUUGUGGAUGGGACUUUACAGCCAAUAGCACAAUGCUGUAAUAGAAACAACGUGGUGCAAUGUAUUCCGGGUAACAAGAGAUAUAACGAGUUUAUCUUUUUUUUUUAAUGAACCAAGCGUUUUAUAAAGUUAGUCGUAUUACAAGAUACGGGACAGUGUAUGUGAUGUGUAUUUAUCAAGAGGACAGUCGUGGAAUUAUUUGAGUUUCGUUUUGUUGUCUAUGCGUUAACGUGUAACUAUUUAAAGAAAAAUAUAUAUAUAUAUUUUCUGUUACAAUCCGUGUAUCGAAUUCAUCACUAUUACGUACAUCCGGCACAUUUCCCAAGAGUGCAAUAAUAUCCCUCGGAUAAAUAUAUAAGGAGAAACUAUAAUAAAUAAGAAAUAACCAGCUGAUUGAUGAGAACGAUGUUUUAUUGGCCGAAAUGGCACUAUAGUCACAUGAUCGUGCAUUACACAUACCUAGCGUACACGCAUUAAAAUUACCUACCUAGCAAUUAAACAUCUACGAGUACUACAUGGAAGCUGAGGUCAGCAGGUAGAUAGUAAUGUGCGUGACCUCCUGACCCCGAGACAGUGUGUUUAUACCUAUAAGCACCAGCUGAUCCUAUUGGAAUAAUAAAAUGGAAAAUCGACACGGAUAAAGUAUACAGUGCUAAUGAUACAGACAUACAUCAUAAAAGACAAAGUUCAAAAACUACAUUCGAUACGUCCUGCCGAUCUUACCUAACCGCAAUUAAACCUCCAGGAUAUCAGCUGGUGCGCAGUUCACUCUCAAUCAUUCGUCAAUUCCGUCAGCCUGAGCCUUUUGAGCAAGAAUAAAUAAACCAGUGAGGUAAAAUUUCAACUUAAUUUAUUUUAAUUCAAUUAUUAAUUAGCUUAGGUAUUAUAGUAUAUCUUAUACUAGUAGAAUGGAUCCGCGGAACGUAAUAGAGUCCCGAGUAUAUUCAGUAUAAAAAAGAGCACGUCGGAUGCUGCAGCUGGAACGAGGAAGAGAAGAAUUAUAAGCGUAACGCCGGACUGGCCUCGCGUCGGAUCGCACCGGUUGGCCAAAAUUACUAAAUGUAUAUGCGACUUCCUGUGAUGUGAAGUAGUGAAGAGGACUAGAGUUUACAUAACUAACAUUCGAUCUGUCAAACCGGGCGGAUCAUUGGAAACAGUCAUGAGCGACAAAAAUAUGCUUAAAAAAUUGUAAAAAAAAAAAGGUUACAACAAAACCCACGAUAAGAUGCUUCAACGUCAAACAGAACGCUAUCAUCAAGAUGUAAAGUGCGGUUCUCAAUGUUCGCGAUAUCGCCGGGGCGAUUCGACAGACGUCCAGCGACGUAGCGGUGAGACAAUUAAAAAAAAACCACAUUAAUGUAAUGGGUAUUUCUGGGA